GUGGGGAAUAUUGGGCAAUGGGCGAAAGCCUGACCCAGCAACGCCGCGUGAAGGAAGAAGGUUUUCGGAUCGUAAACUUCUAUCCUUGGUGAAGAUAAUGACGGUAGCCAAGAAGGAAGCCCCGGCUAACUACGUGCCAGCAGCCGCGGUAAUACGUAGGGGGCAAGCGUUGUCCGGAAUGAAUGGGCGUAAAGGGCGCGUAGGCGGCCCGGUAAGUAUGAAGUGAAAGUCCUGCUUUUAAGGUGGGAAUUGCUUUGGAUACUGUCGGGCUUGAGUGCAGGAGAGGUAAGCGGAAUUCCCGGUGUAGCGGUGAAAUGCGUAGAGAUCGGGAGGAACACCAGUGGCGAAGGCGGAUUACUGGACGAUAACUGACGCUGAGGCGCGAAAGCGUGGGGAGCAAACAGGAUUAGAAACCCGGGUAGUCC
rnacentral:rRNA from 1 species